rfam:Sarcoptes scabiei Contig10291, whole genome shotgun sequence.
UAAAAGGUCCUUUUCAGGACCAUAUAUUUUAAAAGAAAUGAACAAU